UACGGGGGGGGCAAGCGUUGUUCGGAAUUACUGGGCGUAAAGGGCUCGUAGGUGGCCAACUAAGUCAGACGUGAAAUCCCUCGGCUUAACCGGGGAACUGCGUCUGAUACUGGAUGGCUAGAGAUUGGGAGAGGGAUGCGGAAUUCCAGGUGUAGCGGUGAAAUGCGUAGAUAUCUGGAGGAACACCGGUGGCGAAGGCGGGUCUCUGGGCCGUAACUGACGCUGAGGAGCGAAAGCGUGGGGAGCGAACAGG
rnacentral:rRNA from 1 species